rnacentral:rRNA from 1 species
GAUGAACGCUAGCGGCAGGCUUAAUACAUGCAAGUCAAGGGGGUAGCAAUACUACCGGCGCACGGGUGAGUAACACGUACAUAACAUACCAUAUACUGGGGUAUAGCUUUGGGAAACUGAAGGUAAUCCCCCAUAACAUUGCGAGAGGGCAUCUGAUUGCAAUUAAAGUUUCGACGGUAUAUGAUUGAUGUGCGUUUGAUUAGCUUGUUGGUAGGGUAACGGCCUACCAAGGCGACGAUCAAUAGCUGGCGUGAGAGCGCGACCAGCCACACUGGAACUGAGACACGGUCCAGACUCCUACGGGAGGCAGCAGUAGGGAAUAUUGGACAAUGGGCGAAAGCCUGAUCCAGCCAUGCCGCGUGAUAGAUGAAGGCCCUCUGGGUUGUAAAUAUCUUUUAUCUGGGAAGAAACAAUCUUAUUCUUAAGAUCUUGACGGUACCAGAGGAAUAAGCACCGGCUAACUCCGUGCCAGCAGCCG